CGGAGAGUAGUGUCAACGGUAGCACGAGUCUUUUGGGAAGAUUUAGUCCGGGUUCGAAUCCCGGCUCUCCGA
rnacentral:tRNA from 1 species